rnacentral:rRNA from 8 species
GUGGUCCCACCUGACCCCAUGCCGAACUCAGAAGUGAAACGCCGUAGCGCCGAUGGUAGUGUGGGGUCUCCCCAUGUGAGAGUAGGGAACUGCCAGGC